UUCUCUAUGAAAGAAAAUAGAGUAUAGCCUGCUCAAUGAUCUUAAAUAGCUGCAGUUUUCUGUACUAAGGUAGCAUAAUCGCUUGGCACUUAAUUGGUGCCUAGAAUGAAAGGUUGGAUGAAUUUGCCAGAUUCUUCAGGUAGUAGAUUUAAAUUGAUUUAUUAGUAAAAAGGCUAAUAUCAGGUUUAGGGACGAGAAGACCCUAGAAAGCUUUAAGCCUCAUAACUUGAUAAUUUAAUGGCUUUGAUUGGGGCAAUCUCUUAAGAUUUAAGCUUAAAUUGGAGCCAAGAAUCUUGAUUAAAAAGAAAGUUACUUUAGGGAUAACAGCAUAAUAAGAGGCAAGUAGUUCAGAUACUUUCCCCUGCUUAUGACCUCGAUGUUGAAUUAAGGAACCUGAUGGGAGUAGAAGCUAAUCAAGGUAGUCUGUUCGACUAAUAAUUCCUUACA
rnacentral:rRNA from 1 species